rnacentral:rRNA from 1 species
GGACAAUGGGGGCAACCCUGAUCCAGCAAUGCCAUGUGUGUGAAGAAGGCCCUAGGGUUGUAAAGCACUUUAGUUGGGGAGGAAAGCCUCAAGGUUAAUAGCCUUGGGGAGGACGUUACCCAAAGAAUAAGCACCGGCUAACUCCGUGCCAGCAGCCGCGGUAAUACGGGGGGUGCAAGCGUUAAUCGGAAUUACUGGGCGUAAAGGGUCUGUAGGUGGUUUGUUAAGUCAGAUGUGAAAGCCCAGGGCUCAACCUUGGAACUGCAUUUGAUACUGGCAAACUAGAGUACGGUAGAGGAAUGGGGAAUUU